CUGACACAGGUGCUGCAUGGCUGCCGUCAGCUCGUGUCGUGAGAUGUUGGGUUAAGUCCGUAACGAGCGCAACCCUUGUCCUUAGUUACCAGCACGUUAUGGUGGGCACUCUAAGGAGACUGCCGGUGACAAACCGGAGGAAGGUGGGGAUGACGUCAAGUCAUCAUGGCCCUUACGGCCUGGGCUACACACGUGCUACAAUGGUCGGUACAAAGGGUUGCCAAGCCGCGAGGUGGAGCUAAUACCCAUAAAACCGAUCGUAGUCCGGAUCGCAGUCUGCAACUCGACUGCGUGAAGUCGGAAUCGCUAGUAAUCGUGAAUCAGAAUGUCACGGUGAAUACGUUCCCGGGCCUU
rnacentral:rRNA from 1 species